GACACCUCGAGCCUGUCCCGGCCCCAACUCGUAUUCUUUCCGGGGCGGGGACAGAAAACUGAUGAAAAGGACCGUAGAAGUCACUGCUCCCUAGCAGCCAGGCGCCGGGCCAAGAGUUGGAGAAGGGGCACCCAGAGAGGCCCCCGUGACUCCCUGCUCAGAGGUGCCCCCUCCUCCGGGCACUGUGACAUCACCCUGUUUUGUCCUCACAGGCUUGUCUUGUGGGCAGUGAACUUGCAGUCCCUGUCCGCUCUGCCGUGAAACAGUCUCCUGAGGCCUGGGACUUCCUUUGUUCCCAGGGGAACCCCCUCUGGCCCGAGGAGGAGCAGCUGGCGCGCUGUAGACGCUCCAGAAAAGCUUGAAUGCUCCCGGCUCAGCCAGAUGCCUUCAAUACUGGGGCAGGUAAAUGGCAGCAGCAGGCUUUACCCCAGGUCUAGCUGGCUGCACAAGUAAUUGCUCACUUAAAUUCCACAUGCUGCCAUCAAGUGGGAGCUGCCUGGAGGCCGGGAAGGACCUAAGAGGUCCCGGGAGGGAGGCUCUUGCAGUUUCAUUCAGAAGCUCCAUCUUCAUUCUUCUCUGCAGGAUUUAAGAUCUGAAUUCCUCAGCUUCCAGCCUCCCCCGGGGCUGUUUUCUGAGCAUUCCUACCCUGGGUGGCCACUGCCCCUGGUCAGUCUCAUGUCCCUUUCUGUCACCUUCCCAUAUCUCUUCCCAGAGAUGAAGAGGCACCUUGGAAUGGCCCUUACAGGCUGCAGCCCAAGUCCCCGCAAAUUCUGGUGAACUGUCUGGCCUUGCGCCAGGUUUGACUGCUGGGUUGGGUUUUAACCCAGGAGGUUAUCUUGCCUUGCUUUGGUGGGGCCUGGAUCUCAGAUUUCAGGGACACACCUCUAAAGCUUGCUGUGUGCCCCAAGGCGCCAAGCAGGAUGAAGUGGCUGGUGUCCACAGGCCCCCUCUGUGGCCAGGGCCUGGUGGCCCUCCGCCCACUCACUCCACACUUGUGUGUGGAGGGCCGGCGGCCCAGCUGUUCUAAAGAAACCACAGCCAGCGCAGGGUGCUGGCUCUCCUGGAAGGUGAGGGUGGAGGCCAUUUGGUCAAGAAGGUGACAUUUGAGCCAAGGCUAAAGGAGAAGGAAAGCAGCUGUGCAGAUGUCUGGGACAACUGAUUCCAAGCUGAGGAGCCCUGAGUGCAAAGGUCCCAAGUGAGGAACUUGCUUGUGGUGUUCCAGAAACAGCAAGAAGGCAGAACCCAGUCAUCAUUCCCAGAAGAAGUCGCGGAUCCAUUAGCAGUGGGUCCUCACUGUCCUCGUCCCCAGCUCCUGGUCUCCACUGUCCACUUCCUGCCUCCGUGGAUCUGCUUCCUGUGGCUUUUCAUACAACAGACCACGAACCCGCAGCCUCUGCGCCUGCUUCUCCCCCUCGCUGAGGCUCGUCCCUGCUGAAGCUGGCCCAGGACCUCAGCCCGACACAGGGGCGAAUCCUGUUCAAUGUCCCCGUGUGUUCAAGCGUUCCACUGAAGGGCACUCGGUUUGUUUCCACCUGGGGCCUGAGCAGGGCUGCUGGGCACCCUGGUGCCAAGGUUUCGUGUGGAGCAGGUUUUCGAGUUGCCUAGGGGCGGACCUCGGAGUGGAACUGCUGGGCCAGGUGUGGUGAGCCCUUUGCCGCGACACCGUGUACACCCACAGCCCUGUGCCACGUCCCUUGCCCCCCCCCCACGGCUUGGCCACUUUCCACUUCAGACUUCAACCUUUUGGCCAAGGGGCCGACACCCCUCCGUGGUUUGGUUUCGUUCCCGAUGGGUGAUGACCAUCCUUCCAGGUGCUGGUGGCCCAUUCACAGAUCUUUUUUUGGAGAAAUAUCUAUUCAAUCCUUUGCCCAUUUAAAAAGUGUUGGUUUUGCCUUGUUUAUUUUUUGUACUGGGCAUUGAAUCCAUAAGUCAGUUUCUCCCUAAGUUCCCCAGAUUACCUGCCUUUGUGUCUUGAGUUGCUGGGGUUCACAGGCAUGCGCCACCAGGCCUGGCUUAUUUAUCUUUCUGUUGUCGAAUUGUAAGAGUUCUUUAUAUAUUGUGGUCAUUAACUUUUCAUUAGAUAGAUGUUUUGAAUAUAUUUCCUACUCUCCUGUUGGUUGUCAUUGUACUAUCUUAAUAGACAAGCACAUAUUUUACUUUGGUGAAGUCCA